rnacentral:rRNA from 1 species
UACGUAGGAGGCUAGCGUUAUCCGGAUUCACUGGGCGUAAAGCGCACGCAGGCGGUCAUGUAAGUCAGACGUGAAAGCUCCUGGCUCAACUGGGAGAGGUCGUUUGAUACUGCAUGGCUUGAGGUUGGGAGAGGGAAGCGGAAUUCCCGGUGUAGUGGUGGAAUGCGUAGAUAUCGGGAGGAACACCAGUGGCGAAAGCGGCUUCCUGGCCCAUACCUGACGCUCAGGUGCGAAAGCGUGGGGAGCGAACGGG